rnacentral:rRNA from 1 species
CCUACGGGUGGCAGCAGUGGGGGAUAUUGCACAAUGGGGGCAACCCUGAUGCAGCGAUGCCGCGUGAGUGAAGAAGUAUUUCGGUAUGUAAAGCUCUAUCAGCAGGGAAGAAAAUGAUAGUACUUGUACACGAAGCCCCGGCUAACUACGUGCCAGCAGCCGCGGUAAUACGGCGGGGGCAAGCGUUAUCCGGAUUUACUGGGUGUAACGGUAGCGUAGACGGUUAUGUAAGUCAGGAGUGAAAGCCCGGGGCCCAACCCCGGGACUGCUUUGGAGACUGGGAAACUGGAGUACAGGAGGGGGAGGCAGAAUUCCUGGUGGAGCGGUGAAAUGCGUAGAGAGCAGGAGGAACACCGGCGGCGAAGGCGGCCUGCUGGACUGAGACUGACGUUGAGGCGCGAAAGCGUGGGGAGCAAACAGGAUUAGAUACCCCAGUAGUC